GACUUGAAUUACAAGCGCAGUCUGGGCACGGGAGUACACUGCACCGACACUGAUACUGAUAACAUUCAGCCUUGGCCGAGCAGCCUUGAAUUACAAGCGCAGUCUGGGCACGGGAGUACACUGCACCGACACUGAUAACAUUCAGCCUGAAACCAGAUAAGUGGAUCACAUUCCCUCUGAACCAGACAGCUUGCACAAAGAUAUGCAAAUCGGAGCAAAGGGUGACUAAAUUACAGUGAGAGACACUGACAUGCACACAUCUAGUCUAAGCCAGCAGUAGACUAAGCAAGGCGUAUAGCAACAGGCUGCUGUUUACUGUUCCCGACCGUAUGGUGUGUCGCUCCAACACAAUCUACAAGGACAGGAGGGGAACCGCUUUGACACGCCAGAAAUACUAUACAAAGAAGAUGCAAACCGUACUCACGUUUUGAGGAAGAAAAAACGUUCAAGAAUAAAGGACAAAACGUUGGAUGUCAGUUGGAAAAUAAAACCAUGAAGCACCAAAGAAAGGACAUUGAUCGCGGAUAUGCAUGGGUAGUUUGUCUUGCUUGCUUUGCUAUUGAGGUGCUCUGUAGCGCUCUAAACUCUUCUGUUGGGGUCAUUACACCGGCCAUUCUGGAAGAGGUUGAUGGCGAUUUGGUCAAAGUAUCGUGGGUAGGGUCAACAUUGCUUGGAACGUUCUCAAUGUGCGGACCAUUGGCAGGAAUUGUUCAAAACAGAAUUGGAAACAGAUGGACAGGUAUUCUGGGUGGUAUACUGAUGUUACUUGGACUGACAGCUGCAUCCUUUUGUAGGACUGUCACUGGUUUGAUCCUUACGGUCGGA